rnacentral:rRNA from 1 species
GAGCGGCGAACGGGUGAGUAACACGUGGGUGAUCUGCCUCGCACUUCGGGAUAAGCUCGGGAAACUGGGUCUAAUACCGGAUAUGACCACGGACUGCAUGGUUUGUGGUGGAAAGAUUUAUCGGUGCGAGAUGGGCCCGCGGCCUAUCAGCUUGUUGGUGGGGUAAUGGCCUACCAAGGCGACGACGGGUAGCCGACCUGAGAGGGUGACCGGCCACACUGGGACUGAGACACGGCCCAGACUCCUACGGGAGGCAGCAGUGGGGAAUAUUGCACAAUGGGCGGAAGCCUGAUGCAGCGACGCCGCGUGAGGGAUGACGGCCUUCGGGUUGUAAACCUCUUUCGACAGGGACGAAGCGCAAGUGACGGUACCUGUAGAAGAAGCACCGGCCAACUACGUGCCAGCAGCCGCGGUAAUACGUAGGGUGCGAGCGUUGUCCGGAAUUACUGGGCGUAAAGAGCUUGUAGGCGGUUUGUCGCGUCUUCUGUGAAAACUCACAGCUCAACUGUGAGCUUGCAGGGC